rnacentral:lncRNA from 1 species
GUUCUGGGGAAGAAUUCUGAAAUGUGCUUGCAUUCCUCUUCAGGGAAAAAAAAUGCUUUGAUGUGUAAAUGAAAGGGAAUUGCACCCUUACUCCAAGACUGAUUGGUGGGCUGCCCUCAGAAGAGAUCACAGAAGCCCAGGUUAAAAGAGGAGGACAUGAAAAAUCAAACUUCAUGGUAGGAUGAAGUUGCACUUUGUGAGAUGUUCUGCAAAGGAGAUUACUUAUUGGAAUACUUUGAGAAGACACUGGGAAUUUGCAAGUUCUGCAGAGUGCUUUGGAAUGGAAUCCAGUUGAUUUCUAAUGUAGGACAUAUCUUGUCUUGAUCUCACUAAUAGCAAAAAAAAAAAAAAUAAAUCUAGCAUCAAAAUAGUACUCA